GACGAACGCUGGCGGCGUGCUUAACACAUGCAAGUCGAGCGGUAAGGCCCUUUCGGGGGUACACGAGCGGCGAACGGGUGAGUAACACGUGGGUGACCUGCCCUUAGCUCUGGGAUAAGCCUGGGAAACUGGGUCUAAUACCGGAUAUGACUUCACGGCGCAUGUUGUGGGGUGGAAAGCCUUGUGCGGCUAGGGAUGGGCCCGCGGCCUAUCAGCUUGUUGGUGGGGUGAUGGCCUACCAAGGCGA
rnacentral:rRNA from 1 species